GGUACACCAGAAGAGAGAGGCCUGAUAGCUUGGCCAAUGAAAUGAAACUGAGUACGGAUUGUGCUGAACAAGAUGAUGACGAUGGUACCUACAAUUUUCCCGUUGGAAUGGCAUUUGUGAGAAGGUGUAAAAUCUUCAAGCAUAUUCCUUUUAUGCCAACUUAUCAGCCGUCUUCAUGAUAACAAGGAACCUAUCAUAAUGUACAUAAGUGUAACAUUCUUGUAGGGUACCAGUUCCAUAAUACUGUAUUUUACUUCCUAUAUCUUAAAUAAUUUAAAAGUUUGGUAAACAAGACAAGUUAUUAUCAAUAAUUGGUUUCAUGAAGCAAAUUAUUUCACCAAAAGCGAUUAUAUUUAUUAUAUUUGUUCAAACCACUUGUCUUUUCCUAGCUAUUCACACUUACCUGUGAUUAUUGUAUACUCUGGUUUACUUAGGUUUUUCAGCAGGUGAAAUUGUAUUCUAUAAUACAAUACAAAAUAAAAUGGCUUGCUUAAUAUAAGAUUAAAAUAAUGCCCAGUUUCUCCAGACUCAAACGGUAAGAUUACCAGCUGACAAAGGUAACUCUACAGUAGUUAUGGACAAAACCGUAUACAACGAACAUCUUGUUCCAAAUUUCGUGAAAAUCGUUAAAGCCAUUUUCGAGAUCCGUUGAACAUAAAUAACCAGAUAACCAGAUUACAAAAAUAGCCAGAUAAAAAAAUAUAAACAGACGUAUACAGAAAUAGCUCGCUUAAUAUAAUAGGAUCAUAUAAUUAGGUCAUGUCAGAGGCCCUGAAAUUGAUCAAUCAGAGAAUUUCACACUCAAGGAAGUUCAUCUAGCUUCAUUUUAGUUCAGUUAGUCAUGUCGCUAAAAUGCAUUGUUUUCAAGAUACAUGGGUGAAAUCCGGAAAUGGAAAACGCAACUUUUAAACCACCCUCAUCCUUUAGCACAAGGGGUAGGGAUGAGGACUUUUGAUAUGUUUACCUUCCAACUAGUCCAAACAAAGCUGCGAAGUCAAAUAUUGUGUUGCAAUCGUUCCCUCCAAGUUUCCCUGUGAAAUGAUCUAUUGUUGUUAAACUGAAGAUUUUACACUCAACACUAUAACGGCUGCAUCAAUCGUAGGGAGAUGCUUAAAAUAAUACAUGAAAUUGAAGAGAAUAUAAUGCUCUAUGAGCUCAUGAUUAGCACGGAUUUUUUCAAUCAAUCAUUAAAAAGAUAUAAUGCCAGAAAUAUGAAAAAAUCGGAUCCGGAAGGGAUUUCUUAAAAAUGUGACACCUUCGAGAGCUCAAACCUAGAAAACUAGAAGAGAUAUGGAAAAAUGUUACAAAUGGAACUUGUAGGCUAAUUCAUAAGCUUUAAUUUUAUAUUCGACAAACAUUUCCGAAAGACACAUAUUGUCCGAGAUAUGUACAAAAAACAAAAUAUGGUACUUCUAUAAAACCACCCCCACUCACUAGCAGGGGUAGGAGUGAGGACUUUUGAUAUGUUUACCCCCUAACUAUUGUUAAAAGAGCUGCGGGGUCAAAAAUUGUGUUGCAAACUUUUUCUUCUAUACCUUUUUUGAGCAUUGGUUGCCUGGAAUAAUAAGAAUCGUAUUGCUGCUUGCAAGUUGUAGAAGGCAAUUUAAAAGAUUAUGGAAGCGUCUAUGGUAGAUUGUUUGUGUAAUUUGAAACAUUCUUUACAAAUAAAAUUUCAAUAUUGUGUUCAAAUUCAACAUUGGUUCAAUGGACAAAGUGCUACAUGAGAAAUCUGCCAAACUUAUAGGCUAUUACAGUCCCACUCUCACGAGAAAUACAAACAUAGGCUAUUAAAAAAUUGAUUCUAACUUCUCUUCAACAGGUACUGAUUUCUAAUAUUUUUUCCAAGUUGCUCCUUCGCUUGAAUGUUAUAGAGCUGGUUUUAAUACUAUAAUGAAAUAUUAUAAACAUGGAUCUAGUCCAUAGUUUAUCCUUUCUCACUUUCUAAAAAUGCAAAAUAUAGAGAAAAGAAUGAUCAAUAUUCGUGUCAAAACUCAGGAAUGGUGUGAAUGCGUUACAUUCAAACGAAAAGAAACUGCGAAUAAAUUUUGGAUCCAACUGUGUUGGCUAGCCUAGAUUAUAGCCUAUUCUAUGAAGAGACCACUUUAUCAAACGCAAGGAUAUUAACUUGUAUAAAAUAUAGGAGAGUUAAUGGAUGAAAUAAUAUACCACUUAAAAUAUAGCCUAUAGUCUAUAAAUUUAGUGCCUAUAUAGAUUGUACUCAUAAUGAAUUAAAAUAAUUACAGUUCC